AGAGUUUGAUCCUGGCUCAGGACGAACGCUGGCGGCGUGCCUAACACAUGCAAGUCGAACGGGACUCAGCCCUUCGGGACUGAGUUUAGUGGCGAACGGGUGAGUAACGCGUGAGGAACCUGCCUUUCAGUGGGGGACAACAGUUGGAAACGACUGCUAAUACCGCAUAAUGCUUUUUGAUGGCAUCAUUGAAAAGCCAAAGAUUUAUUGCUGAAAGAUGGCCUCGCGUCUGAUUAGCUAGUUGGUGGGGUAACGGCCCACCAAGGCGACGAUCAGUAGCCGGUCUGAGAGGAUGAACGGCCACAUUGGGACUGAGAUACGGCCCAGACUCCUACGGGAGGCAGCAGUGGGGAAUAUUGGGCAAUGGGGGAAACCCUGACCCAGCAACGCCGCGUGAAGGAAGAAGGCCUUCGGGUUGUAAACUUCUUUUACCAGGGACGAAAAAAGUGACGGUACCUGGAGAAAAAGCAACGGCUAACUACGUGCCAGCAGCCGCGGUAAUACGUAGGUUGCAAGCGUUGUCCGGAUUUACUGGGUGUAAAGGGCGUGUAGGCGGAGAUGCAAGUUGGGAGUGAAAUCCAUGGGCUCAACCCAUGAACUGCUCUCAAAACUGUAUCCCUUGAGUAUCGGAGAGGCAAGCGGAAUUCCUAGUGUAGCGGUGAAAUGCGUAGAUAUUAGGAGGAACACCAGUGGCGAAGGCGGCUUGCUGGACGACAACUGACGCUGAGGCGCGAAAGCGUGGGGAGCAAACAGGAUUAGAUACCCUGGUAGUCCACGCUGUAAACGAUGAAUACUAGGUGUGGGAGGACUGACCCCUUCCGUGCCGCAGUUAACACAAUAAGUAUUCCACCUGGGGAGUACGACCGCAAGGUUGAAACUCAAAGGAAUUGACGGGGGCCCGCACAAGCAGUGGAUUAUGUGGUUUAAUUCGACGCAACGCGAAGAACCUUACCAGGACUUGACAUCCAACUAACGAAGUAGAGAUACAUUAGGUGCCCUUCGGGGAAAGUUGAGACAGGUGGUGCAUGGUUGUCGUCAGCUCGUGUCGUGAGAUGUUGGGUUAAGUCCCGCAACGAGCGCAACCCCU
rnacentral:rRNA from 1 species